UAUGACUUCAUUGUAGGAUGGAUCCGAAUAAGAAAUUAAUCUCCAAUUUCUUCACAAAUAUUUGUUUGAAGAGUGGGGAGGAGUUUUUCUGUCUUCUGUUUUAUGAACACAAGGAAGUAUUUCAUCUCUAGGCAUAUGGCAGCCAUCUCCUUACUGUGAGGAUAACCAAGUUUGAGUGGAGGAAAGGCAGCAUAUGAUGGAGAGAUAGAAUCUGUCUGAGACCCUGAUGAAUGUUUGGAAAUACUAAAUAAAACACUCCUAGAAACUGA